CUCUGUGAAUAAAACUUUAAUAAUGUACAGCAGAAACUGGACAGGCUCAUUCUUAUAUUAAAACAAAAGAUUUCCUAUAUUACAACUUAUUUACACUUGCAUACUGAAGAGGUAAAGUGUCUAAGUGGCUAUUUUACAGUCCUUUCUAAUAAAAUGUACAAAAACAAACAGAAGUACCGAGAAUGCCGUUCGGGGGCCUUGAUGGCGACAUAAGAACGGGCUUGGACUUGGUCUGUGAAUCCAGAAUCCAGAGGUGUGGGUAGCCCUAAGGAUCAGGGUUAGUUUAGCCUCAGGGGGCCAAAACCUCGGCUUUAGUUUCUCCUCAACUCUUUAACUCCCAACUCCUGGGUUAAGAGUGGUGGUGGUGGUGGCGGCAGCGGGGCUGGGAGCUUCCCCAAACCGCUCAGUCUUCCCCGAAGCUGGAGGAGUGUGUGGUGAGGACAGCAGAGCCACCUGGGGAGCGGCCGAGUGGCUUGGGAGUCCCUGGGGUCGAGGAGUGUUGGCAGAUCCCAGAGGCUGGCUGAGGCUGGGGAGGAGUCUGAUUCCAUCACCUCCUGGCACCCGCCUCGCUCUGCCUGCCGCAGGGUGGACAGGUGGGGCGUCAGCAGGGGUGGGGAAGAAGGUCCCCCAAUGACACGAUUGGUAUGCGAGGGAAGUUCAUCAGUGGCCAGUAAAUUGGCCCAAAGGGUGAGGGGACGAUCUCCUUUUACGCAAGGAAAGAAGCAGUACAUCGGGAAAAUAAAUAGGAAGGCCAGGAGCCCCGGGGAGACCGACGUGAGCAGGGAGAGGCUCUCCCCUCCUCCACAGGCUUUGGCAGAGAGUUGCUGGGCUGGAGGCAGGGUGGUGGGGGUCUCACUGCCUGCCGCCGGCCUCUUUGGUGGGGGUGUGGGGGUGGGGGGCAAUCCUUGCUCCUUGGUGGUCUGAGAUAUCAGAGCAACCACUCCAGGCUCAAAAGGCUCUCAGAACCAACUAGGAAAACUUCUGGUCUCAAAACAGGCACCCGCUAACUUGAAUCAGUUCCGUCGUCAGUGCUCCAAGAGGAGGACCCAAGCCUGUCUCGUUCACAGAUGUGUUUGCCAGUGCCCAGAGCAGUGCCUGGCACCUGACAGGCCCACAACGAAUGUCUGUUGAGUAAAUG
rnacentral:lncRNA from 1 species